AGUGAACGCUGGCGGUAGGCCUAACACAUGCGAGUCGAACGGCAGCACAGUAAGAGCUUGCUCUUACGGGUGGCGAGUGGCGGACGGGUGAGGAAUACAUUGGAAUCUACUUUUUCGUGGGGGAUAACGUAGGGAAACUUACGCUAAUACCGCAUACGACCUACGGGUGAAAGCAGGGGAUCUUCGGACCUUGCGCGAUUGAAUGAGCCGAUGUCGGAUUAGCUAGUUGGCGGGGUAAAGGCCCACCAAGGCGACGAUCCGUAGCUGGUCUGAGAGGAUGAUCAGCCACACUGGAACUGAGACACGGUCCAGACUCCUACGGGAGGCAGCAGUGGGGAAUAUUGGACAAUGGGCGCAAGCCUGAUCCAGCCAUACCGCGUGGGUGAAGAAGGCCUUCGGGUUGUAAAGCCCUUUUGUUGGGAAAGAAAAGCAGCAGGUUAAUACCCCGCUGUUCUGACGGUACCCAAAGAAUAAGCACCGGCUAACUUCGUG
rnacentral:rRNA from 1 species